ACUCCAGUACUUACGGUGGAUGAUGAGAGUGCGAGGAACAAGGUGGUCAGGUGGCGCCAGUGACUCCUUCCUUCAACAGUUUUGUCUCUCCCUCGUGGUAUAUCCUCAAUGUCUUCAGUGGUGUGGUCUCACUACACACUUACACUGCCACAAGUGUCCUGAGAGUACUGUGGGAGGGACAAUUUGGCGGGUAUUGUGGA